rfam:Cavia porcellus supercont2_94 genomic scaffold, whole genome shotgun sequence.
GGAGAGUUAGCUCAGCGGCAUAAGCGCCUGCCUUGCAAGCAGGCAGUCACAAGUUCAAUCCUUGGUACCA